rnacentral:tRNA from 1 species
AGUUUUAUAGUUUAAUUAAAAUAUUAAAUUGCAAAUUUAAAGAUAGUUCAUCUUAAAGCUUAAGAUUU